UGUGAGCAUUCUGGGCCUGCCAUACAAUUUCCAUACCCAGAUGUGGCCCUCGGACCAAAAAGUUUGCCCACCCCUGAUACAUACAGAUAUAAAUAAAGUUCUUAAGUCAGUUUCGUAGUAGAGAUGGUGAGCUUCAAAGUUGCAAAAGUUCCUUCAGAAUUAGUUCCAUAGGUUAUAGUCUAAUGUCGAAUAUCAUGGUUACCCAGACUGGAGCUGGGGACCUCAGUCUUGUGUCUCUUGUUUGCCCAAAGCUGGGAUUGCGUGGCAGGGCGUGGAUCACUUGAUGAUGACCUGUCUGUUCAUUCCCUUGGGGCACCUGCCAUUGGCCACUGUCAGAGGACAGGAUACUGGGCUUGAUGGACCUUUGGUCUGACCCAGUAUGGCUGUUCCUAUGUUCUUAUGUCUCAAACUUCCCCUGAUGAAUCUUAAGCAGAUCUGAGAUACAGGAUCAGGGCCCAAGAGUUUUUUUUAUAGCUUUCCUUAGGUGCAGCAUUGUGGCUUUGAAGUAGAACCUCCUAUUUCCUAUGUGGUAACUAGUUUCAUUCAUCAACAUAAGGUAAUUAUCCAUUAAGUAGUUCAAAGACAGUUUGUAGUAAACUUAAAAGAAAAAUAUAGAUAAUAAUAUUAUGACAUUCAGGUUUCAUAUAGAUGUUAAUAUUCUCUUUUUGAUCCUUGAAUCAAUAGUAGUAACAGACAGGAACCGUCUAUUUACAUGGUUAACAUCUGACAAGAUGUUAGUUAAUACAUACAAUUAGUAUUACCCUUAAUUCUCUUACAAUACAGGUUUGCAUUUCAAAGCUCUAGUUUAUCUAACAUUAUGAAAUGUCCCUAAUUACCAUUGACAUGCUUUUCUCACAUGUCUCUAAAGGUUGAAUGUGGGUCAUUUAGCCUAUAAUUGCUUAACCAUUUCUGUCUCAAUGUCACAGAGGGUUUCAAAGCCUCAGGUCCAUCCUGAGCCUGAAUGCCUACACUGCUAGUUUUAGCUCUGCAGCUCAAGAUCCCAAUUAAUUUGACACAGGCUCUGAGACUCAGUGCCACAGAGCUUUUUAUUGCAGUGUAGAUAUACCCUUAGCUGCUUCUCCAGUGCAAAGGAAUUGAGGGGAUUUGGAGCAGCGUUGCCCUUCUAUAGCUUCAGGAGGGGUCACAGGGAGGCAUAGGGGAUUUGUACUGCCCUGACAGGCACUGCUGCAGGAAAGUCUCUUGCUCCUAUGUGUUAGGUGUGAACACACUUGAGUAGAAUACAAAUCUUCAUCCACUUCUUGAAGAACAACAGUUACAGAACAGGUAAACAACCUUUUUUCACCUGUAAUUCCUGAGCCUUGGGCAGCUCUAAUAGUAAUAAUACUACUUCAAAGUGCUUUAUAAACAAAUUAUUACUCCUGAGGGCAUUCUGUGCCAAAAAAUUAAAAAUUCUGCACC